AUUCGCGGCCUAUCAGCUUGUUGGUGAGGUAAUGGCUCACCAAGGCAUCGACGGGUAGCUGGUCUGAGAGGAUGAUCAGCCACACUGGGACUGAGACACGGCCCAGACUCCUACGGGAGGCAGCAGUGGGGAAUAUUGCACAAUGGGCGCAAGCCUGAUGCAGCAACGCCGCGUGCGGGAAGAAGGCCCUAGGGUUGUAAACCGCCUUCAGCAGGGAAGAAAAUAACGGUACCUGCAGAAGAAGGCGCGGCCAACUACGUGCCAGCAGCCGCGGUGACACGUAGGCACCAAGCGCUGUCCGGAUUUAUUGGGCGUAAAGAGCUCGUAGGCGGUUUUGUAAGUCGGGUGUGAAAACUCUGGGCUCAACCCAGAGAGGCCACUCGAUACUGCAAUGACUUGAGUACGGUAGGGGAGCGGGGAAUUCCUGGUGUAGCGGUGAAAUGCGCAGAUAUCAGGAGGAACACCAGUGGCGAAGGCGCCGCUCUGGGCCGUAACUGACGCUGAGGAGCGAAAGCAUGGGUAGCAAACAGGAUUAGAUACCCUGGUAGUCCAUGCCGUAAACGUUGGGCACUAGGUGUGGGUCUCAACCAACGAGAUCCGCGCCGUCGCUAACGCAUUAAGUGCCCCGCCUGGGGAGUACGGAAU
rnacentral:rRNA from 1 species